rnacentral:rRNA from 1 species
UACGUAGGGGGCGAGCGUUGUCCGGAAUCAUUGGGCGUAAAGCGCGUGUAGGCGGCUCGAUAAGUCCGGUGUGAAACCUUGGGGCUCAACCCCAAGCCUGCACUGGAUACUGCCGAGCUAGAGUCCGGGAGGGGAGAGCGGAAUCCUAGUGUAGCGGUGAAAUGCGCAGAUAUUAGGAAGAACACCGGUGGCGAAGGCGGCUCUCUGGAACGGUACUGACGCUGAGACGCGAAAGCGUGGGGAGCGAACAGG